rfam:Natranaerobius trueperi strain DSM 18760 ZB100021, whole genome shotgun sequence.
CAAAUCGUGCAGUGAUGCAUGGUUGAACCGUAAGAAGUCAGCAGAGGUCAUAGUACCGGAGACGGGAAGGGC